rnacentral:lncRNA from 1 species
UGACACCUUUGUAUCCUUUGUGAUCGUUUUGUCAGCAUAAUCAUCAUACAUUCAUAAAAUUUCAUAAUUGCAUAUUGGCACCAUCAUAUUUGUUUGAUUUGUCGAUUUGAGAUUCUCCUUCUCUGUAUGGUGGUACUUUAUCCCUAUACAAAUUUAGGUGUAUGUCCUCCCUCAAUUGUAGAGCGUCGGCCCCUUAGGC